AGCGAACGCUGGCGGCAGGCUUAACACAUGCAAGUCGAGCGGGCAUAGCAAUAUGUCAGCGGCAGACGGGUGAGUAACGCGUGGGAACGUACCUUUUGGUUCGGAACAACACAGGGAAACUUGUGCUAAUACCGGAUAAGCCCUUACGGGGAAAGAUUUAUCGCCGAAAGAUCGGCCCGCGUCUGAUUAGCUAGUUGGUGAGGUAAUGGCUCACCAAGGCGACGAUCAGUAGCUGGUCUGAGAGGAUGAUCAGCCACAUUGGGACUGAGACACGGCCCAAACUCCUACGGGAGGCAGCAGUGGGGAAUAUUGGACAAUGGGCGCAAGCCUGAUCCAGCCAUGCCGCGUGAGUGAUGAAGGCCCUAGGGUUGUAAAGCUCUUUUGUGCGGGAAGAUAAUGACGGUACCGCAAGAAUAAGCCCCGGCUAACUUCGUGCCAGCAGCCGCGGUAAUACAAAGGGGGCUAGCGUUGCUCGGAAAUCACUGGGCGUAAAGGGUGCGUAGGCGGGUCUUUAAGUCAGGGGUGAAAUCCUGGAGCUCAACUCCCUAACUGCCUUUGAUACUGAAGAUCUUUGAGUUCUGGGAGAAGUGAGGUGGAACUGCCGAGUGUAGAGGUGAAAUUCAAAAGAUAUUCGCAAAGAACAAUCAAUGGCGAAGGCGGGCUCAAUGGGCCCGAUACUGACGCUGAGGCACGCAAAUCCUGUGGGACGCCAACCCCG
rnacentral:rRNA from 1 species